CAAGUUACCAACAAAGAUUUUAAGGUCAGGAGAGAAAUUACGUUCUUCUUCUACACCAUCAUCACCAUCUUCAACAUCCUCAAUUUGGCCAAAAUCAGAAAGGGUCACCUUACGAACAAAACGAGAAGAAAAACAAGAUGAAGAAGAAGUUAAAGAAAGGUUGAGAGAAGAAGGAGGAAGGGAAAAGAAGGAAAGGGAAGUAGUUUGGGAAGUGGGUUUUGGUAGAGGAAGUGUUUGAGGUGUAAGGGAAAGGAAAUGGAGGGAAGAAGUUGAGGAAGCCAUUGAAGAUAAGGUUUUGAAGCAAAAGAAUUUGAAGAUAGGCUUUUUCUUUCUCUCCUGUUGUGGAUGUCUAUGGGGGAUAUUUAUGGGCAGAGGAGAUGUGAUGUUUGAAGAUAUUUUGGGUCCAUUGAUGGAUUUUUUUAACUUUUGGGUUUUUUAGGAGAUAAGGCCCAUGUUUGC
rnacentral:lncRNA from 1 species